CUCUUUUUUGGAGGAUACCCUCGAAAUAAAAAAAUUUAAAAAAAGUAUCUGUUCUUAUCAGCUUGAUAUCUGAUACGUCCUCCAUUGGGGGACAUCGAUAUUAAACUGAUUUUUGAAAGGGGGUGAGGUGCCCGGGGCUUGCUCCGCCCUCACCACGGGUUGACCCGGCAUUGCAGUACCUCCGGGAAUGGCCCACCACUA